AUCCUUCAUCCUAUCCAAGUCCAGGAAGCAUGGACUGUCCUUGGGAUAGAUCUAAUUGGUCCCCUUCCUACCACCGCAAAGGGCAAACGGUUCAUUCUAACUGCCACAGAUCUUUUCACCAAGUGGGUGGUGGCAAAAUCCCUCUACAACAAAAGUGCCACUGAGGUGUCCAAAAAAAUUGUCAAUAUUUUGCUUGACUUUGUACUGCUGGAGAGGAUUAUAACCGACCAGGGGCGGGAAUUUGUAAAUGAGGUCAACCGUGGUGUUUUUGAAGCUUUGGGUGUCAAACACUGUAUUACAUCAGCCUACCAUCCCCAGGCCAAUGGACAGGAUGAGCGCACCAACCGCAAUAUCAAGACUGCACUAGCCAAAUACUGUGGGGAGGAUCAAAACGACUGGGACAUCCAUCUACGGGGAGUAGUAGCAGGCAUCAACACAUCCAAACAGAGAUCUACAAAGUACACACCCUAUUGUGCUCUGUUUGGAAGACACCCCCGCACACCAGGUGUGAUAAACAACACGACACAAGAAAAAGGGGAUGAUGACAAUCGUGUCGUGGUGAUUGAGGAGACAGAAGAAGACCUGGCGGCCAAGGCUGCAGACAUUGCAGAUCUGCAUGC